CCCCUAGACGUUCUGGGCUGCACGCGCGCUACAAUAAUACGCACAGCGAGUAUCACCGAGCUCGAAAGGGCAAGGUAAACAAUAGAAAAGGUACUGUCAUGGUUAUAGAUCCUUGUAAUUAUUGAUCUUCAACGAGGAAUUCCUAGUAAGUAUGUGUCAUCAUCACGCACUGAUUACGUCCCUGCCCUUUGUACACACCGCCCGUCGCUCCUACCGAUUGGGUGAGCCGAUGAAACUCUCGGAUGUAGGCUAUUCAUAGCCCGCAGAAGAGAUUUGAAUCGUAGCGCUUAGAGGAAGGAGAAGUCGUAACA
rnacentral:rRNA from 1 species